ensembl:snoRNA LOC120099497 small nucleolar RNA SNORA17
CCUGCCCCUAGUGGUGUUACAGGUAUGGGCCACUGUGUCACAUGUGCAUCAUCAGGUGGCAGAGGAGAGAGAUUUUGCCAAUGCUCAGUGUUCUGACCUAUGGACAUCUGAAUUAUUAGUACCCUAACGUU